rnacentral:rRNA from 1 species
UGGGGAAUAUUGGACAAUGGGCGAAAGCCUGAUCCAGCAACGCCGCGUGGGGGAUGAAGGUCUUCGGAUUGUAAACCCCUGUUGGGAGGGACGAAGGUCUGCGGGCGAAUAGUCCGCAGUCUUGACGGUACCUCCAGAGGAAGCCCCGGCUAACUCUGUGCCAGCAGCCGCGGUAAUACAGAGGGGGCUAGCGUUAUUCGGAAUUAUUGGGCGUAAAGGGCGCGUAGGCGGCUGGGCAAGUCUAAGGUGA